rnacentral:rRNA from 1 species
AUAUCAAUAAGCGGAGGAAAAGAAACUAACAAGGAUUCCCCUAGUAACUGCGAGUGAAGCGGGAAAAGCUCAAAUUUAAAAUCUGGCAGAUGCUUGUCUGUCCGAGUUGUAACCUAGAGAAGUGUAACCUGUGCUGGACCAUGUACAAGUCUCCUGGAAUGGAGCAUCAUAGAGGGUGAGAAUCCCGUCUUUGACAUGGACUACCAGUGCACUGUGGUUGUGCACUCGACGAGUCGAGUUGUUUGGGAAUGCAGCUCUAAAUGGGUGGUAAAUUCCAUCUAAAGCUAAAUAUUGGCGAGAGACCGAUAGCGAACAAGUACCGUGAGGGAAAGAUGAAAAGAACUUUGGAAAGAGAGUUAAACAGUAUGUGAAAUUGUUGAAAGGGAAACGCUUGAAGUCAGCUGCAUUGGCUGGGGAUCAAGCCAGCUUAUUUGCUGGCUGUACUUCCUGGUUGAUGGGCCAACAUCAGUUUUGACCAUCAGAGAAAGGCAAAGGGAAUGUGGCACCUUUAUAGGUGUGUUAUAGCCCUUGGUUGUAUGUGGUGGUUGGGACUGAGGAUAGCAGCGUGCCACAAGGCCGGGUUUCGACCACGUUCACGCUUUGGAUGUUGGCAUAAUGGCUUUAAGCGA